rnacentral:rRNA from 1 species
GACGAGGGACCCUAGCGUUGUUCGGAAUCAUUGGGCGUAAAGCGGAGGUAGGUGGCUUGGUAAGUCGAGUGUGAAAGCCCACGGCUCAACCGUGGAAGCGCAUCCGAAACUGCUUCGCUCGAGUCUCGGAGAGGAAGGUGGAAUGCUUGGUGUAGAGGUGAAAUGCGUAGAUAUCAAGAGGAACACCUGAGGUGAAGACGGGUUGCUGGGCUGACACUGACGCUGAGGCGCGAAAGCCAGGGGAGCAAACGGG